rnacentral:rRNA from 1 species
UACGGAGGGGGCUAGCGUUGUUCGGAAUUACUGGGCGUAAAGCGCGCGUAGGCGGACCUGCAAGUCGGGGGUGAAAGCCCGGAGCUCAACUCCGGAAUUGCCUUUAAGACUGCAUCGCUUGAAUCAUGGAGAGGUGAGUGGAAUUCCGAGUGUAGAGGUGAAAUUCGUAGAUAUUCGGAAGAACACCAGUGGCGAAGGCGACUCACUGGACAUGUAUUGACGCUGAGGUGCGAAAGCGUGGGGAGCAAACAGG